rnacentral:rRNA from 1 species
GAUGAACGCUGGCGGCGUGCCUAAUACAUGCAAGUCGAGCGAACAGACGAGGAGCUUGCUCCUCUGACGUUAGCGGCGGACGGGUGAGUAACACGUGGAUAACCUACCUAUAAGACUGGGAUAACUUCGGGAAACCGGAGCUAAUACCGGAUAAUAUAUUGAACCGCAUGGUUCAAUAGUGAAAGACGGUUUUGCUGUCACUUAUAGAUGGAUCCGCGCCGCAUUAGCUAGUUGGUAAGGUAACGGCUUACCAAGGCGACGAUGCGUAGCCGACCUGAGAGGGGGAUCGGCACCCCGGGAACUGACACACGGUCCAGGCCCCUCGGGGAGGCAGCAGGGGGGAAUCUUCCGCAAGGGGCGAAAGCCUGACGGAGCAACGCCGCGGGGGUGAUGAAGGUUUUCGGUUCUGAAACCUCUUUUUUUGGGGAAGAAAAAAUGGGAAAGUAACUAUGCCCGUCUGGCCGGUACCUAAUCAAAAAGCCCCGGCAAACUACGG